ACGCUAGAGCUAGACAUUAAAAGAUAUUUGUACUACCAUGUUCGAACCACAAAAAACUGUAGUGGUUGUUCGAAAUGCCAAGUAGAAGUCAAGCGGCUCCCUCUGGUGGCCGAUUCAUGAUUUCCACAACACAUUCCGCAGUUUAGUCCCUAAAAGACGAUGACGAUGACGAUGACGAUGACGAAUUAUGGCGACCCUAUGAGAUAUCAGUCAUCAAGAUUUGCCAUUGAAUUUGAUCAGUCAGUUGGGGAAAAAUCAAUUCUUAAUUAUUCAUCACUCAUGUCUCAUGAGCUUUUGCUUCUAUGUUUAAAUAAGGAAUGAUAAAAAUUGAAAUCGAAAAAAUAGUAUAGCUUUACAAGAACAAUUUUGUUCAAUAAUGCAGUUUCUUUUUCUAUUUCAGGUAGCUUUGCUAUCAUUUAAUUCCUGAUCAUUGCUAUUUCAAGAUUUUCAACUAAUAGUCUAACUGCUGUCAUAGUUGGAUCUGUAAGAGUGAUGCAUGUUAAAUUCCUCCUCAGAGUGAGGGUGUGUUACAACAAAAUCAAAUUGGAGUGGCUAGCCUUUAGUCUAAGCUUCUUAAGAUUUGAGGAAAUCCCCACUCAUUUAAAUUCCCAAGCUACCAGCAUGAGUCUUGGUAGAAGGACAUGUAUGAUAAAGAUCGUGACCCAUUCAACCACGGCGAGUCAGUCGUUUAAAACGACGUUGCCUUUGCCAUCUCCAUUCAGGCUUUUGUCACACAGAUAGAGACCACUGGAUCUUGCCGUGUUCAUUCGGUCUAGCUACUGAUUCGAAAUCCCCAAGUCUCCGGUGAGAGGGUGAACUAUUCUAAGAGCGACGAUCCUUUUACUAUUUCGAUUUCCCUGUCGUUCUCAAUUCUGUGAUACUCACAGCCAGAGUUAUAAAGUAAAAUGAGACGACAAUGGUUCCAUUUCCAUUACUGUGCUUUAUUUAUACCUUCGAUCCGAUCUUUAGUCUCAGUGAAUUCACACACACGCCGAAUCCCGACAUGUGCAUAACUACGUAGGUACAAAAGAAAAGGAAAGAAAAAUCCUUCCGUCUUGGCUGUCUCUGGAGAAUUCCGGAGAUUGUGCAUCGUCUACUAGGGGGGGAGGCGGGUAUUCCCUCACGUCUUCCUUCCAUUUUAUUUGUUUUUGAUGUUAACCUUCACGGUUUGCCAUCAUCCCUUUGUGUAUUUAACUUCUCCAAUUAAAAUAAUUAUCAAAGGUUAUUGCUGCGUGUUUCUUGUUCUUGGUUGUCGUAGCCGCUGGGCGGAGUAUUAUCUCGGAGAAGUUUUCCCGGAAUCAAAGUUUGGCAAAAGCACGAAGUACACUAGACCCCUCGAGAGAAAUAUAAUAAACGGGAACAUGAGUUGCGCACUUUCUUUUUUUAUUCUUUGAUUCCAAUCCAGCAGCGUUUUUUAAAAAAUAUUUUGUUUUCGUUAUAACAAACAAAUCCAAAAAAUUGAAAACAAGAAGAAAUCAAAUACGAUGUAUGUAUAAUAUGCAUGUAUAGGAAACGAAAUGUUAAGAGUUGUACGCCCCAACGUGAUGAAAACAUUCAGAAUUAUGAUAAAAGAAGAAA